rnacentral:siRNA from 1 species
UAAUACAAGAUGGUUACUACAUGU